UGUGUGUGUUUUAAGGAAAUUUUCCUAAAGCUCUUUCAUCUCCAUAUUUUGCUAUCACAAACUGGCAUAUGCAAGGCAUCAAAACUAGCAUGUAAGGUCCUGUGCAUAGGAGUAAAGGUAGUUCUUGCAGGCCUCGUUAUCAUCCCCAUUGGUACUACCUUCCCGGUCCCCGACCUCUUUUGAUCCCUGUUCUCUGUUUAAUGACAGGCAUCUGG
rnacentral:lncRNA from 1 species